UCCCUGAGACCCUAGGUUGUGAAGUUUUAAAGAUCACAGGCUAGAACCUCAGGCCCU
rnacentral:pre_miRNA from 1 species